rnacentral:rRNA from 1 species
UACGGAGGGUGCGAGCGUUGUCCGGAAUCACUGGGCGUAAAGGGCGCGUAGGUGGCGACCCAAGUCGAUGGUGAAAGCUCGCCGCUCAACGGCGAGUCGGCCACCGAUACUGGGUUGCUCGAGCACUGUAGAGGCUAAUGGAAUUCCGGGUGUAGCGGUGGAAUGCGUAGAGAUCCGGAAGAACACCGGUGGCGAAGGCGGUUCUCUGGGCAUUACCUGACGCUGAGGAGCGAAAGUGUGGGGAGCGAACAGG